AGAAAUGACUGCUAAUACCGCAUAAGCGCACGGGACUGCAUGGUCUUGUGUGAAAAACUCCGGUGGUAUGAGAUGGACCCGCGUCUGAUUAGCUUGUUGGUGAGGUAACGGCCCACCAAGGCGACGAUCAGUAGCCGGCCUGAGAGGGUGGACGGCCACAUUGGGACUGAGACACGGCCCAAACUCCUACGGGAGGCAGCAGUGGGGAAUAUUGCACAAUGGGGGAAACCCUGAUGCAGCGACGCCGCGUGAGUGAAGAAGUAUCUCGGUACGUAAAGCUCUAUCAGCAGGGAAGAAAAUGACGGUACCUGACUAAGAAGCCCCGGCUAACUACGUGCCAGCAGCCGCGGUAAUACGUAGGGGGCAAGCGUUAUCCGGAUUUAUUGGGUGUAAAGGGCGUGUAGGCGGGAAUGCAAGUCUGAUGUGAAAGGCCGGGGCUCAACUCCGGGACUGCAUUGGAAACUGUCAGACUGGAGUGUCGGAGAGGUAAGCGGAAUUCCUAGUGUAGCGGUGAAAUGCGUAGAUAUUAGGAGGAACACCAGUGGCGAAGGCGGCUUGCUGGACAGUAACUGACGUUGAGGCUCGAAAGCGUGGGGGAGCAAACAGGAUUAGAUACCCUGGUAGUCCACGCCGUAAACGAUGAAUGCUAGGUGU
rnacentral:rRNA from 1 species